UGCAGUCGAGCGAACAGAUGAGAAGCUUGCUUCUCUGAUGUUAGCGGCGGACGGGUGAGUAACACGUGGGUAACCUACCUAUAAGACUGGGAUAACUCCGGGAAACCGGGGCUAAUACCUGAUAAUAUUUUGAACCGCAUGGUUCGAUAGUGAAAGGCGGCUUCGGCUGUCACUUAUAGAUGGACCCGCGCCGUAUUAGCUAGUUGGUAAGGUAAUGGCUUACCAAGGCGACGAUACGUAGCCGACCUGAGAGGGUGAUCGGCCACACUGGAACUGAGACACGGUCCAGACUCCUACGGGAGGCAGCAGUAGGGAAUCUUCCGCAAUGGGCGAAAGCCUGACGGAGCAACGCCGCGUGAGUGAUGAAGGUUUUCGGAUCGUAAAACUCUGUUGUUAGGGAAGAACAAAUUUGUUAGUAACUGAACAAGUCUUGACGGUACCUAACCAGAAAGCCACGGCUAACUACGUGCCAGCAGCCGCGGUAAUACGUAGGUGGCAAGCGUUAUCCGGAAUUAUUGGGCGUAAAGCGCGCGUAGGCGGUUUCUUAAGUCUGAUGUGAAAGCCCACGGCUCAACCGUGGAGGGUCAUUGGAAACUGGGGAACUUGAGUGCAGAAGAGGAGAGUGGAAUUCCAUGUGUAGCGGUGAAAUGCGCAGAGAUAUGGAGGAACACCAGUGGCGAAGGCGGCUCUCUGGUCUGUAACUGACGCUGAUGUGCGAAAGCGUGGGGAUCAAACAGGAUUAGAUACCCUGGUAGUCCACGCCGUAAACGAUGAGUGCUAAGUGUUA
rnacentral:rRNA from 3 species